AUCCUGGCUCAGGAUGAACGCUAGCGGCAGGCUUAACACAUGCAAGUCGAGGGGUAUAGUUCUUCGGAAUUAGAGACCGGCGCACGGGUGCGUAACGCGUAUGCAAUCUACCUUUCACAGAGGGAUAGCCCAGAGAAAUUUGGAUUAAUACCUCAUAGUAUAGCAGUUUCGCAUGAAACCACUAUUAAAGUCACAACGGUGAAAGAUGAGCAUGCGUCCCAUUAGCUAGUUGGUAAGGUAACGGCUUACCAAGGCAACGAUGGGUAGGGGUCCUGAGAGGGAGAUCCCCCACACUGGUACUGAGACACGGACCAGACUCCUACGGGAGGCAGCAGUGAGGAAUAUUGGACAAUGGGCGCAAGCCUGAUCCAGCCAUGCCGCGUGCAGGAUGACGGUCCUAUGGAUUGUAAACUGCUUUUAUACAGGAAGGAACACUACUUCGUGAAGUAGCUUGACGGUACUGUAAGAAUAAGGAUCGGCUAACUCCGUG
rnacentral:rRNA from 1 species